UUGAGCCGUAUGCGAUGAAAGUCGCACGUACGGUUCUUAAAGGGGGAAAGUUCGAGAGAACCUACCUAUCUUAAC
rfam:Coccidioides immitis RS mitochondrial scaffold supercont3.7, whole genome shotgun sequence.